rnacentral:rRNA from 2 species
ACGUCUGAUGGAGCACGCCGCGUGAGUGAAGAAGGGUUUCGGCUCGUAAAACUCUGUUGUUAAAGAAGAACAUAUCUGAGAGUAACUGUUCAGGUAUUGACGGUAUUUAACCAGAAAGCCACGGCUAACUACGUGCCAGCAGCCGCGGUAAUACGUAGGUGGCAAGCGUUGUCCGGAUUUAUUGGGCGUAAAGCGAGCGCAGGCGGUUUUUUAAGUCUGAUGUGAAAGCCUUCGGCUCAACCGAAGAAGUGCAUCGGAAACUGGGAAACUUGAGUGCAGAAGAGGACAGUGGAACUCCAUGUGUAGCGGUGAAAUGCGUAGAUAUAUGGAAGAACACCAGUGGCGAAGGCGGCUGUCUGGUCUGUAACUGACGCUGAGGCUCGAAAGUAUGGGUAGCAAACAGGAUUAGAUACCCUGGUAGUCCAUACCGUAAACGAUGAAUGCUAAGUGUUGGAGGGUUUCCGCCCUUCAGUGCUGCAGCUAACGCAUUAAGCAUUCCGCCUGGGGAGUACGGCCGCAAGGCUGAAACUCAAAGGAAUUGACGGGGGCCCGCACAAGCGGUGGAGCAUGUGGUUUAAUUCGAAGCUACGCGAAGAACCUUACCAGGUCUUGACAUACUAUGCAAAUCUAAGAGAUUAGACGUUCCCUUCGGGGACAUGGAUACAGGUGGUGCAUGGUUGUCGUCAGCUCGUGUCGUGAGAUGUUGGGUUAAGUCCCGCAACGAGCGCAACCCUUAUUAUCAGUUGCCAGCAUUAAGUUGGGCACUCUGGUGAGACUGCCGGUGACAAACCGGAGGAAGGUGGGGAUGACGUCAAAUCAUCAUGCCCCUUAUGACCUGGGCUACACACGUGCUACAAUGGAUGGUACAACGAGUUGCGAACUCGCGAGAGUAAGCUAAUCUCUUAAAGCCAUUCUCAGUUCGGAUUGUAGGCUGCAA